rfam:Dipodomys ordii contig_59047, whole genome shotgun sequence.
GGUGACUCAGGGGUAGAGUGCUUGCCUUGCAUGCAUGAGGCCCUGGGUUCGAUUCCUCAGCACCA